UGGGCUUGACAUCCCACGAACCUGGGGGAAACCUCGGGGUGCCCGCAAGGGAGCGCGGAGACAGGUGGUGCAUGGCUGUCGUCAGCUCGUGUCGUGAGAUGUUGGAUUAAGUCCCGCAACGAGCGCAGCCCUCACCCUUUGUUGCCAUCAGGUCACGCUGGGCACUCUAAGGGAACUGCCCCAGUUAACGGGGAGGAAGGUGGGGAUGACGUCAAGUCAUCAUGCCCCUUACGCUCUGGGCUACACACGUGCUACAAUGGCCAAUACAAAGGGCUGCGAACCCGCGAGGGGGAGCUAAUCCCAAAAAGUUGGUCUCAGUUCAGAUUGUAGGCUGCAACCCGCCUACAUGAAGGAGGAAUCGCUAGUAAUCGUGGAUCAGCAUGCCACGGUGAAUACGUUCCCGGGCCUUGUACACACCGCCCGUCACACCACGAAAGUCUGCUGUACUCGAAGUCGCUGAGA
rnacentral:rRNA from 1 species